UACGAAGGGGCUAGCGUUGCUCGGAAUUACUGGGCGUAAAGCGCACGUAGGCGGCUUUCUAAGUCGGGGUGAAAUCCUGGAGCUCAACUCCAGAACUGCCUUCGAUACUGGAGAGCUUGAGUCCGGGAGAGGUGAGUGGAACUGCGAGUGUAGAGGUGAAAUUCGUAGAUAUUCGCAAGAACACCAGUGGCGAAGGCGGCUCACUGGCCCGGUACUGACGCUGAGGUGCGAAAGCGUGGGAGCAAACAGG
rnacentral:rRNA from 1 species